rnacentral:rRNA from 1 species
GACGAACGCUGGCGGCGUGCUUAACACAUGCAAGUCGAACGGAAAGGCCCUGCUUUUGUGGGGUGCUCGAGUGGCGAACGGGUGAGUAACACGUGAGUAACCUGCCCUUGACUUUGGGAUAACUUCAGGAAACUGGGGCUAAUACCGGAUAGGAGCUCCUGCUGCAUGGUGGGGGUUGGAAAGUUUCGGCGGUUGGGGCUGGACUGGCGGCUUAUCAGCUUGUUGGUGGGGUAGUGGCUUACCAAGGCUUUGACGGGUAGCCGGCCUGAGAGGGUGACCGGCCACAUUGGGACUGAGAUACGGCCCAGACUCCUACGGGAGGCAGCAGUGGGGAAUAUUGCACAAUGGGCGGAAGCGUGAUGCAGCAACGCCGCGUGCGGGAUGACGGCCUUCGGGUUGUAAACCGCUUUCGCCUGUGACGAAGCGUGAGUGACGGUAAUGGGUAAAGAAGCACCGGCUAACUACGUG